UACGUAGGGGGCAAGCGUUGUCCGGAUUCAUUGGGCGUAAAGAGCGUGUAGGCGGCCAGGUAGGUCGGUUGUGAAAACUGGAGGCUCAACCUUCAGAGGUCGACCGAAACCAUCUGGCUAGAGUCCGGGAGAGGAGAGUGGAAUUCCUGGUGUAGCGGUGAAAUGCGCAGAUAUCGGGAGGAACACCGGUGGCGAAGGCGGUUCUCUGGGCCUGUACUGACGCUGAGGAGCGGAAGCGUGGGGAGCGAACAGG
rnacentral:rRNA from 1 species